rnacentral:rRNA from 1 species
CGUGAUGAAGAAGGCCUUCGGGUUGUAGGCUACAUCGCCAAGAGACAGUACGAUGCUGAAUAACACCAAUGGUGGAUGACAGCACUGCAAAACAUACGCGAGUAACUACGUGCCAGCAGCCGCGGUAAUACGUAGGGUGCGAGCGUUAAUCGGAAUUACUGGGCGUAAAGCGUGCGCAGGCGGUUUCGUAAGCCAGACGUGAAAUCCCCGGGCUUAACCUGGGAACUGCGUUUGGGACUGCGAGGCUAGAGUACGGCAGAGGGAGGUGGAAUUCCACGUGUAGCAGUGAAAUGCGUAGAUAUGUGGAGGAACACCGAUGGCGAAGGCAGCCUCCUGGGCUAGUACUGACGCUCAUGCACGAAAGCGUGGGGAGCAAACAGGAUUAGAUACCCUGGGUAGUCCACUGCCCUAAACGAUGACAACUAGUUGUCGGGGAUUUACAUCCUUAGUAACGCAGCUAACGCGUGAAGUUGUCCGCCUGGGGAGUACGGUCGCAAGAUUAAAACUCAGAGGAAUUGACGGGGGCCCGCACAAGCG